UGCUCCUCUGACGUUAGCGGCGGACGGGUGAGUAACACGUGGAUAACCUACCUAUAAGACUGGGAUAACUUCGGGAAACCGGAGCUAAUACCGGAUAACAUGUUGAACCGCAUGGUUCAACAGUGAAAGACGGUCUUGCUGUCACUUAUAGAUGGAUCCGCGCCGCAUUAGCUAGUUGGUAAGGUAACGGCUUACCAAGGCAACGAUGCGUAGCCGACCUGAGAGGGUGAUCGGCCACACUGGAACUGAGACACGGUCCAGACUCCUACGGGAGGCAGCAGUAGGGAAUCUUCCGCAAUGGGCGAAAGCCUGACGGAGCAACGCCGCGUGAGUGAAGAAGGUCUUCGGAUCGUAAAACUCUGUUAUUAGGGAAGAACAAAUGUGUAAGUAACUAUGCACGUCUUGACGGUACCUAAUCAGAAAGCCACGGCUAACUACGUGCCAGCAGCCGCGGUAAUACGUAGGUGGCAAGCGUUAUCCGGAAUUAUUGGGCGUAAAGCGCGCGUAGGCGGUUUUUUAAGUCUGAUGUGAAAGCCCACGGCUCAACCGUGGAGGGUCAUUGGAAACUGGAAAACUUGAGUGCAGAAGAGGAAAGUGGAAUUCCAUGUGUAGCGGUGAAAUGCGCAGAGAUAUGGAGGAACACCAGUGGCGAAGGCGACUUUCUGGUCUGUAACUGACGCUGAUGUGCGAAAGCGUGGGGAUCAAACAGGAUUAGAUACCCUGGUAGUCCACGCCGUAAACGAUGAGUGCUAAGUGUUAGGGGGUUUCCGCCCCUUAGUGCUGCAGCUAACGCAUUAAGCACUCCGCCUGGGGAGUACGACCGCAAGGUUGAAACUCAAAGGAAUUGACG
rnacentral:rRNA from 1 species